rnacentral:rRNA from 1 species
GGCAUGCCUUACACAUGCAAGUGGAAGGGGAGCACGGGAGCAAUCCUGGUGGCGAGUGGCGAACGGGUGAGUAAUAUAUCGGAACGUGCCCAGUCGUGGGGGAUAACGCAGCGAAAGCUGUGCUAAUACCGCAUACGAUCUACGGAUGAAAGCGGGGGAUCGCAAGACCUCGCGCGAUUGGAGCGGCCGAUAUCAGAUUAGGUUGUUGGUGGGGUAAAAGCCCACCAAGCCGACGAUCUGUAGCUGGUCUGAGAGGACGACCAGCCACACUGGAACUGAGACACGGUCCAGACUCCUACGGGAGGCAGCAGUGGGGAAUUUUGGACAAUGGGCGCAAGCCUGAUCCAGCAAUGCCGCGUGCAGGAUGAAGGCCUUCGGGUUGUAAACUGCUUUUGUACGGAACGAAACGGUCUGCUCUAAUACAGCGAGCUAAUGACGGUACCGUAAGAAUAAGCACCGGCUAACUACGUGCCAGCAGCCGCGGUAAUACGUAGGGUGCGAGCGUUAAUCGGAAUUACUGGGCGUAAAGCGUGCGCAGGCGGUUAUAUAAGACAGAUGUGAAAUCCCCGGGCUCAACCUGGGACCUGCAUUUGUGACUGUAUAGCUAGAGUGCGGCAGAGGGGGAUGGAAUUCCGCGUGUAGCAGUGAAAUGCGUAGAUAUGCGGAGGAACACCGAUGGCGAAGGCAAUCCCCUGGGCCUGCACUGACGCUCAUGCACGAAAGCGUGGGGAGCAAACAGGAUUAGAUACCCUGGUAGUCCACGCCCUAAACGAUGUCAACUGGUUGUUGGGUCUUCACUGACUCAGUAACGAAGCUAACGCGUGAAG